GGCAGUAUGGCGGAGUGGUUUGAGCAUUGGACUACGACUGUGAAGACCAGGGUUCGAAUCCCUGCUUAGCCA